AUGCACACGGCUAGCUGGUCAGCAAACUGUCCAAACCAGAAUCGGGGACCACGGGGACCAGUCGAAGCCCUCCCGACCGUGUCCUCGUCUCCUCCUGCGGGAGCGGGUCCCCUGGCCCAACGGCCUCGCGCUGCCCACGGGCACUCGGUACCCCGGUGUCCCGCCCCCCCCCCCCCAGGGAACCCGCUCCACGUCCCCCUGGGACGCCUGCAAGACCGAGGGCCCCGCCCACCUCGGCUCCCGCCCAAGGGCAGGAAGAGCCCGAGGACUGGCUGCAGCCCACCGGCCAGGCCAACGCCAGGGAGCGGACACCCGGAGGAGGAGGAGGUCGGCGGGGCCUUCCUGGAGGGGGGCUUGGAAGGAGAGGGGAGGAGGGGGGAGGGAGGAGGGGGGGAGAGGACAGGGAGGGGGAGGAGGGACGGGAAGGGGAGGAGGGAGGGGAGGGGAGGGAGGAGGGGGAGGACGAGGGGAGGGGGAGCAGGACGGGAGGGGGGACAGGGGGAGGGGAGGGGGAAGAAGGAAGGACUGAGGGAGGACAAGGAGAGGCGGAGCAGGACGGGGGCGGGCGGAGGGGAGGACAGGGGGAGGGCCCCCUCCCUCGCGGUCCCCCCUCACGGGCCCCAUGGCGGCCCCCCCACGUCCCCCCUCGCGGCCCCCGCCCAGCCCCCCCACCCCCUCGCGACCCCCCCACCCCCCCCCGCGGCCCCCCACGUUCCCCCCUCGCGGCCAGCCUCCCCCCCAUCCCUGCCCCCCCACCCCCUCGGCCCCUCGCGGCCCCCGCCCGGCCAGGCCGGCCCACCCCCGCCGGGCCUCGGAAGGGGCGCCGCGGCCCGCUCCCUCCCUCCCUCCGCCUCGCCUCCCCGGCGCCUCCCCGGCUCCUCCCCGGCUCCUCCCCGGCUCCUCCCGGGCUCCUCACCGGCAGCGCCGGGACCGCGAGCGCGAGCAGGCAGGCACGAGGCACGUGCGCGCGAGGCCGGGACCCGCCGGGAAGCCCCGCCGGGAGACCCCACCCCGCUCCGGCCGCCGCGCCGCUCAGCCCGCGCGAACGCCGCCGCCGCCGCCGCCGCCGGAGCCUCCUGCGUCACGUGGCCCGGCGCCGGGUGA
rnacentral:lncRNA from 1 species